rnacentral:rRNA from 1 species
AUGAACGCUGGCGGCGUGCCUUAGGCAUGCAAGUUGAACGCAUUGAAAAAUCGCAAGAUUUUUUAGUGAGUGGCGGACGGGUGAGUAAUAGACAGGAACGUACCCCUUUCUAGGGAAUACCCGGUCGAAAGAUCGGCUAAUACUCUAUAAGUCCUACGGGGGAAAGCGCGUAACUGCGCGGAGAGGGAGCGGCCUGUUUCCUAUCAGCUAGUUGGUGGGGUAAUGGCCUACCAAGGCUAUGACGGGUAGGAGGUGUGAGAGCAUAUCCUCCCACAAGGGUACUGAGAUACGGACCCUACAUCUACGGAUGGCAGCAACCGGGAAUAGUUGGCAAUGGACGAAAGUCUGACCACGCGACGCCGCGUGCGGGAUGAAGGCCCUCGGGUCGUAAACCGCUUUUAUUGGAGAAAAAGGGGACGCUAUGCGUUCUUUGAUGGUAUCCAGUGAAUAAGCACCUGCAAACUACGU